AAAUUGAAGCAGCAAUACAGCUUUGGGCCAUGUGAUGUGCAUGUGGGCUUUCCGAAAUUUAACAGGUGGCCCACAAGUACAUCAUUAGCGACCAAGGUUGAAGAUAUAUGCAUCAUAAU
rnacentral:precursor_RNA from 12 species